rnacentral:lncRNA from 1 species
UGAUGAAUAAAAGACCAACAGGCGAAGUGAAUUAAAUUUAGGAAAAAAUUUUUUUUUUCUGAAAGACAUUUUUUAGAAAAAAAAUCAUAUUCAAUUUUUUGGAUAGCUUUCGAGAAAAAUAAUUUCUUGAGUUUAUUUCAAAUGAAAAUCAAUCUUCUUUUUCUCUCUCUCUAACUUUUAUCUCACUGUUAAAAUCAAUCAUCAAUUUUUCACAAAACUCCAACUUUUCUUGAUCAAAACCCACCAGAAGAGAGCACAAAGCCGUGGGUAUUUCAUUGCUUUUCAAAAUCUUGUUGGUCAACUUAAGCUUGCGGAAAAAUCUUUUAUGGGUAUUCAAAAUCAUGUAAUAUCUCUCUUCAGAUUUACUUCUGUCAGUGUUUUUAGUUUGAUUUGCAAAAGUAAAGCUUGUGGAGAAGUCUUUUAUGGGAGGCUUUUGAGCAUUCUUGUGGCUGUAAAGAGAAACUUACAAUCAAAGAAGGAUUUUGGUGAUUGUAGGAAAGAGGGUGUGGAGGAGAUAAGUUGUUGCCGGUUGCUUCAGUGGUGGCCGUCGUAGUUGGGUAACUUUCGGGUUUGUUAACGUUUGUAGAACGAUCUUAGAGAGCUCAAAGGGGAAGAAUCCAAAAAGGAUUUGGCGAAAAAGAAGGAAGAGAUGAGAGACGGGGAAAUUGUCUUCUGGAAGACUUGAUCAUUUUUUGAUAUCCAAACACAGAAAAAAUUAUGGAAAUUAACUUCCAAAAAUCAUUCUCCAUUCAUGUCUUUUUUUUUUCAACUCAUCAAUUUGAUGAUAUUCAUUUUGUCAAUAGCACGUUAAUCCAAUUGGUAACUAAAGAAACUCUCUUUUCUUAUCAAAUUAGAGAAUUCGAAUUGUAUGGGAAACACUUCGAAAAUAGAAUUUUAAAUAUAUCAAAUUGAUGUAAGGCAAUAAGUCUUUAAAAUCAUCUAAAAAGGGGUUAUCCUCAAAGUAAAUUUGAAAAUAUAAUUGAUCAUUUAACAAAAAAUAUUUAAAUAUUUAUUUUU